AACAGGGAUUGCCUCAGUAACGGCGAGUGAAGCGGCAAAAGCUCAAGUUUGAAACCUGCGGAUUGUACCAGGCGAGGUUAGGAAGAAGCAAGUCCCUUGGAACAGGGCGCCACAGAGGGUGACAGCCCCGUGCUCUGCCUUGCACACCUCCCCAACGAGUCGAGUUGUUUGGGAAUGCAGCUCAAACGGUGGUAAAAUCCAUCCAAAGCUAAAUACAGGCGAGAGACCGAUAGCGAACAAGUACAGUGAUGGAAAGAUGAAAAGCACUUUGAAAAGAGAGUGAAACAGUAUGUGAAAUUGUUGAGAGGGAAGGGAAUCACUCGCAGAGUGCUUCCACCCGUCUUGAAACACGGACCA
rnacentral:rRNA from 1 species